rnacentral:rRNA from 1 species
GACGAACGCUGGCGGCGUGCUUAACACAUGCAAGUCGAGCGGUAAGGCCCUUUCGGGGGUACGACGAGCGGCGAACGGGUGAGUAACACGUGGGUGACCUGCCCUCAGCUCUGGGAUAAGCCUGGGAAACUGGGUCUAAUACCGGAUAUGACUCCAUGACGCAUGUUGUGGGGUGGAAAGCCUUGUGCGGCUGAGGAUGGGCCCGCGGCCUAUCAGCUUGUUGGUGGGGUGAUGGCCUACCAAGGCGACGACGGGUAGCCGGCCUGAGAGGGCGACCGGCCACACUGGGACUGAGACACGGCCCAGACUCCUACGGGAGGCAGCAGUGGGGAAUCUUGCGCAAUGGGCGAAAGCCUGACGCAGCGACGCCGCGUGAGGGAUGACGGCCUGG